rnacentral:rRNA from 1 species
GACGAACGCUGGCGGCGUGCUUAACACAUGCAAGUCGAACGGAAAGACCCUGCUUUUGUGGGGUGCUCGAGUGGCGAACGGGUGAGUAACACGUGAGUAACCUGCCCUUGACUUUGGGAUAACUUCAGGAAACUGGGGCUAAUACCGGAUAGGAGCUCCUGCUGCAUGGUGGGGGUUGGAAAGUUUCGGCGGUUGGGGAUGGACUCGCGGCUUAUCAGCUUGUUGGUGGGGUAGUGGCUUACCAAGGCUUUGACGGGUAGCCGGCCUGAGAGGGUGACCGGGCACAAUGGGACUGAGAUACGGACCAGACUGCUACGGGAGGCAGCAGUGGGGAAUAUUGCACAAUGGGCGGAAGCCUGAUGCAGCGACGCCGCGUGCGGAAUGACGGCCUUCGGGUUGUAAACCGCUUUCGCCUGUGACGAAGCGUGAGUGACGGUAAUGGAUAAAGAAGCACCGGCUAACUACGUG